GCCUCCCAGAACACAUCAGGACAGAGAGAGGGGUUGGAGGGGCCUCCCAGAACACAUCAUGACAGGCAGAGGGGUACGGAGGGGCCUACCAGAACACAUCAGGACAGAGAGAGGGGUUGGAGGGGCCUCCCAGAACCAUCAUGACAGGCAGAGGGGUUGGAGGGCCUCCCAGAUGAUGGGGAGGUAUAUUUUCUCAAAAUACUUAUUCACUUUAAACAAAUUUUACAUAAUUACAGUAGUCUGAAAAUAUUCUAAGAUCUUUGUGUGGGUUGUCUAUAAUAAUUCAUAAUCAUUAAAAAAAAAAUACAUUUCCCAGAAUGCAUCAAACACUCCAGAAUUGGAAUGGUGCCUCCCAUCUGAUGUCUACCGCAGGCAGCUCCACGGCCGGGCCUGGCCCAAUGCCCAUCAGUGAUGUGAUUUUCUGUGUGUCGGGGCGUUUCCUGAUCUCCUCACAGUGCAGGCUGUGUUUACAGUUGGACGAUGAUGUGGUCCACCCCUUCCAGGUGUCGCUCCUCACUCCCUCUAGUCAUCUCUAUGGUCUUCAUUCCCUCUAGUCCAUCUCUAUGGUCCUCACUCCCUCUAGUCCAUCUCUAUGGUAGAGGUCCUCACUCCCUCUAGUCCAUCUCUAUGGUCCUCACUCCCUCUAGUCCAUCUCUAUGGUCCUCACUCCCUCUAGUCCAUCUCUAUGGUCCUCACUCCCUCUAGUCCAUCUCUAUGCUACAGGUCUUCACGUGUCCACUCUUUAGGGUUUGGCCAAAGUCAGGCAACAAACAUAUGAUCAUCCAAUCCAGUAUCAGAUGCUGUUUUUAUUCAAAUCAACACUAUGAUGCUGACCAACCAGCUGUCGUGACUUUACUUUCAUUAACCUGAUGACUGUUAAUUAUCGAAUCCAACUAUGUUUAAUCGUUACCCGAUUAAAUUAAUCAUGUAACAAUUAACUCAUUAGGAUUUGGGGCACCACGAGAGCGGUUCUUUAAAGAGUGACCAUCUCCCGAAUUAAACUCUAAAGGUCUUAACAUCUUAACAGUCAACGUAUUAAUCAUAACCUCGUAUCAUAUCAUUCUGAACAGUCGUAACCUCCUUGCAUCUGCAAAAACCCCAGCCUUACUUAUGAUUCAGUACUGCACAAAUUGGUUUAAUUAUUUAUUUACUAGCUAACUAAAUGGUAACACAGGAUAAACAUAGACACAUUAGAAACAGAUGGUGGGGGGUGAAAGAGAGAAAGGUACAGAGACAUAAGACUUGGGUACAUUUAGAAACUAAUCUCACAGUAAUCAGAUACUUUGCACACGAACCGCCGCCCGUUUGGAGUAAGAAAUAAUUUAUGUAUUUACGUGUAAAUGUCUUGAUUCAUCUUGUAGUCCUGAACAGAACUACAGAGUUGAUUUCCCUUCCAUUCGCUCCUGAAGAUGCCUCUUUGAAGACAUGCUAGCCAGCCGUGUCAAUGGUUUUCAUUGGGUGAUGAGAGUAGCGUACUACAUUGAUUUGCGAAGAGUAGUAGAAUGAUCCCACUUAAGUUCAACUUUCUAGUUACUUUACUUAGGACAGCUAAUCAGCAGUCCCAGUGAUUGUCUGGGAGGUGACUUCAUCGUCUCUACCUCGUGUUGAGAUUUCAGAGUUCAAACCACUUUGGACGUGAGCUGCAGCUACACUCCCCUCUGGUCUAAAUGUUGAUUUCUUUACCAAUCCUUUUAUACAUGCUGGUCCAAAGGGGCGGUUCCGUCAGGUUGACAUGCUCUCUGACCUCACUCUGGGGCGUGGCUACUUAUUGUGCAAAGUUUUAUAGGAGACAAAUUAUCACUUAUGGCUCCUAAAAUCACAUCCCUAUCUUAACAAAAUUACUUUCAUAAUUGUUCAUAUUUCAUACACAAUGUAAAGGAUGGAGAAUUCAUACAUGUAGUGUACAUGCUUCAAGUUACAGUUUUUCCUCUAUAACAUUUUUAAUGGCAUCACAAAAUAACAAACAAUAUGACAUUAGUUUUCUACACCUCAAACCCUGCCCUGUUCCCUUUCUACACCUCAAACCCCGAAAACAGCCUUUUCUUCCUAAAUAAUAACCCUAACCCUACAUACUAACCCUAACCCUACAUACUAACCCUAACCCUACAUACUUAUGGCCAUACCAGCCUGAAUACGACUGAUCUCAUCGCGGGGGCCGGUCGUGUAUAGCUGUUGUUCUGCCCCCUGAACAAGGCAGUUAACCCACUGUUCCCCAGUAGGCCGUCAUUGUAAAUAAGAAUUUGUUCUUAACCGACUUGCCUCGUUAAAUAAAGGUUAAAAAAAACAAAUAAAAAUACUAACCCUACAUAAUGUACAUCCAACCCAUUACCCACGUUCACCCAAACAUUUAAUAAUCCACCCUAACCACCACCCACUCUUCCACGUCCCCUUCCACCCACCCCUCCACGUCCCCUUCCACCCACCCCUCCACGUCCCCUUCCACCCACCCCUCCACGUCCCCUUCCACCCAGUCCCUUUUCCUCCUCCUCCCCCUCCUCCCCAGACCCUGAGCCCAUUCCACUGUGCACAGAUGUCAGUAAAACAUCUAGUUUUGGUUUCUAUUUGAUUGAGUUGUCAAGUAACAUGAAUUCAAAGUGAAAUAAACAAAAAUGUUACAAGUAACAGAGUUGGCUGAAAAAAAAUUUUGAAAAAAAAAGGCCAAAAUCCCAGAAUUUCCUUUAUGAUGGAUUACAUUUUGCAAAUCAAAUCCAAUCCAAUAUUUUUGUUGAAAUGACGUUGGAAACUUUGAUUCAACCAGUUUGUGUCCUGUGGGUUCUUCCUCUCCCAGAUCCUCAGAGCCCAUGUUACAGACUCUCACUGGAUUCCUCUCACAGCUGCUUGCUGAGUUUGCGUGCCUGCCUCUCCUUGGCGUCGAAGGCGAACUUGGUGUCCUGUAGUUGUUCUAUGAUUUCCUUGGCUUCCUUCAUAUCCGCACCCAGCUGGUUGUAUUUCUCCAGAAGCUCCUGGUUCUCUUUGUGCAGGUCCACCACCAGCUGGCUAAGCUCCUCGCUCUGCUUCCCACAGUGGAGCUUCAGAGCCUCCAUCUCCGUCAGGGUCAACUCCAUACGUUUCACCAGACCCUCCAGCUUGUCCUUCGACGACAUCUUGUUCUUUAGUCAGGUUGAGCUUCUUUUUUUUUUAUGGUCGAGCUUUACUCGUCGACUACACUCGUCUUUAGCUAGGUCGACUUGAGCUUCUUGUUUUGCUUCUUGUACUCAAGUGUGUAGAUUGAGAUCUAGUACAAGUGGUUUGGAUUGUCUGACGGAUAAGAUGUCUCCCAGAUGGUGUGUUAUGUCACUCGUCUCGUUUCCCCUUUUCUGGUCAGAGGAACGUCUGUGUUGCUUAGUUACCUGUUAGUUGUCCUGUUCCGUGUGACUAUUUAAAAACCUAAUACCCUAGUCCCUGCAUGUCUCACAUGGGCCGCUCCCUCUUCAUCCCUCCGUCUUUUAAUCCCGUUAGUGGAGAGCUAUCCUGGGCCACGGCCCGCGUAGGGUUACACGUAGACAGACAUGACAGUG
rnacentral:lncRNA from 1 species